rnacentral:rRNA from 1 species
GACAGCAGCCGCCGCGGUAAUACGUAGGUGGCAAGCGUUGUCCGGAAUUAUUGGGCGUAAAGGGCUCGCAGGCGGUUUCUUAAGUCUGAUGUGAAAGCCCCCGGCUCAACCGGGGAGGGUCAUUGGAAACUGGGAAACUUGAGUGCAGAAGAGGAGAGUGGAAUUCCACGUGUAGCGGUGAAAUGCGUAGAGAUGUGGAGGAACACCAGUGGCGAAGGCGACUCUCUGGUCUGUAACUGACGCUGAGGAGCGAAAGCGUGGGGAGCGAACAGGAUUAGAUACCCCGGUAGUCCCUGUCUCUUAUAC